GAUGAACGCUGGCGGCGUGCCUAAUACAUGCAAGUCGAGCGAACGGACGAGAAGCUUGCUUCUCUGAUGUUAGCGGCGGACGGGUGAGUAACACGUGGAUAACCUACCUAUAAGACUGGGAUAACUUCGGGAAACCGGAGCUAAUACCGGAUAAUAUUUUGAACCGCAUGGUUCAAAAGUGAAAGACGGUCUUGCUGUCACUUAUAGAUGGAUCCGCGCUGCAUUAGCUAGUUGGUAAGGUAACGGCUUACCAAGGCAACGAUGCAUAGCCGACCUGAGAGGGUGAUCGGCCACACUGGAACUGAGACACGGUCCAGACUCCUACGGGAGGCAGCAGUAGGGAAUCUUCCGCAAUGGGCGAAAGCCUGACGGAGCAACGCCGCGUGAGUGAUGAAGGUCUUCGGAUCGUAAAACUCUGUUAUUAGGGAAGAACAUAUGUGUAAGUAACUGUGCACAUCUUGACGGUACCUAAUCAGAAAGCCACGGCUAACUACGUGCCAGCAGCCGCGGUAAUACGUAGGUGGCAAGCGUUAUCCGGAAUUAUUGGGCGUAAAGCGCGCGUAGGCGGUUUUUUAAGUCUGAUGUGAAAGCCCACGGCUCAACCGUGGAGGGUCAUUGGAAACUGGAAAACUUGAGUGCAGAAGAGGAAAGUGGAAUUCCAUGUGUAGCGGUGAAAUGCGCAGAGAUAUGGAGGAACACCAGUGGCGAAGGCGACUUUCUGGUCUGUAACUGACGCUGAUGUGCGAAAGCGUGGGGAUCAAACAGGAUUAGAUACCCUGGUAGUCCACGCCGUAAACGAUGAGUGCUAAGUGUUAGGGGGUUUCCGCCCCUUAGUGCUGCAGCUAACGCAUUAAGCACUCCGCCUGGGGAGUACGACCGCAAGGUUGAAACUCAAAGGAAUUGACGGGGACCCGCACAAGCGGUGGAGCAUGUGGUUUAAUUCGAAGCAACGCGAAGAACCUUACCAAAUCUUGACAUCCUUUGACAACUCUAGAGAUAGAGCUUUCCCCUUCGGGGGACAAAGUGACAGGUGGUGCAUGGUUGUCGUCAGCUCGUGUCGUGAGGUGUUGGGUUAAGUCCCGCAACGAGCGCAACCCUUAAGCUUAGUUGCCAUCAUUAAGUUGGGCACUCUAAGUUGACUGCCGGUGACAAACCGGAGGAAGGUGGGGAUGACGUCAAAUCAUCAUGCCCCUUAUGAUUUGGGCUACACACGUGCUACAAUGGACAAUACAAAGGGCAGCGAAACCGCGAGGUCAAGCAAAUCCCAUAAAGUUGUUCUCAGUUCGGAUUGUAGUCUGCAACUCGACUACAUGAAGCUGGAAUCGCUAGUAAUCGUAGAUCAGCAUGCUACGGUGAAUACGAUCCCGGGUCU
rnacentral:rRNA from 1 species